rnacentral:rRNA from 1 species
CGGGUGAGUAAUGUCUGGGGGAAAACUGCCUGAUGGAGGGGAUAACUACUGGAAACGGUAGCUAAUACCGCAUAACGUCUCCGGACCAAAGUGGGGACCUUCGGGCCUCACACCAUCGGAUGUGCCCAGAUGGGAUUAGCUUGUAGGUGGGGUAAUGGCUCACCUAGGCGACGAUCCCUAGCUGGUCUGAGAGGAUGACCAGCCACACUGGAACUGAGACACGGUCCNAGACUCCUACGGGAGGCAGCAGGA